rnacentral:rRNA from 1 species
CCUACGGGUGGCAGCAGUGAGGAAUAUUGGUCAAUGGGCGCAAGUCUGAACCAGCCAUGCAGCGUGAAGGAUGACGGCCCUACGGGUUGUAAACUUCUUUUAUAAAGGAGUAAAGUCAGGUCCGCGUGCCUUUUUGUAUGUAUUUUAUGAAUAAGGAUCGGCUAACUCCGUGCCAGCAGCCGCGGUAAUACGGAGGAUUCAAUCGUUAUCCGGAUUUAUUGGGUUUAAAGGGAGCGUAGAUGGUUUGUUAAGUUAGUGGUGAAAGUUUGCGGCUCAACCGUAAAAUUGCAAUUGAUACUGGCAGCCUUGAGAACAGUUGAGGUAGGCGGAAUUCGUGGUGUAGCGGUGAAAUGCUUAGAUAUCACGAAGAACUCCGAUUGCGAAGGCAGCCUACUAAACUGCCACUGACAUUGAUGCUCGAAAGUGUGGGUAUCAAACAGGAUUAGAUACCCUUGUAGUC